rnacentral:rRNA from 1 species
UACGGAGGGGACUAGCGUUGUUCGGAAUUACUGGGCGUAAAGCGCACGUAGGCGGAUUUGUAAGUCAGGGGUGAAAUCCUGGAGCUCAACUCCAGAACUGCCUUUGAUACUGGCGACCUUGAGUCCGGGAGAGGUGAGUGGAACUGCGAGUGUAGAGGUGAAAUUCGUAGAUAUUCGCAAGAACACCAGUGGCGAAGGCGGCUCACUGGCCCGGUACUGACGCUGAGGUGCGAAAGCGUGGGGAGCAAACAGG